AGGGGUAUAGUUUAAUGGUAGAAUCAAGGUCUCCAAAACCUUUGGUGUGGGUUCGAAUCCUACUACCCCUG
rnacentral:tRNA from 1 species